UGUCCACCUCACUGCAGUGAAAGUGAAAGUGGAGCUGCUGUGAUUCUCCAGUGUUGCACAGCUGGAUAAAACUUCAGAAGAUCAUCUUCGUCUGGAUAAUUUGGCCUUGGACUCUUUGGUGAGUUGGGAAUGUGGUGCACACAGAAGAAGCGAAUCAGAAGACAGGGGGAGAGGUGGAGAGAUGGAGUGAUGGAGAAAUCUCUCCUUCUGCUGCUCUACACAGCUACAUGGGCUGUGUCGGUGUCAGAUGGGUUCAACAUCGAUGUCACAAACCCAGAGCGGUUCUCGGGGAGUGAGGAGGGUUUUUUCGGUUAUCGGGUUCUACAGUAUCAGUCUGACUCAGACAAACAGUGA